AUCUCUACCAUGUACCAGCUUGCUUUCUGUUCGUUUAAGGGGCUGUGAAAUGUUGAGUUGUUUUCAUAUCACAGCCCGCUUUGACGAGCUAGAGGGGAAGACCUGACCAACACUAUUUC
rnacentral:precursor_RNA from 9 species